rnacentral:rRNA from 1 species
GUGGGGAAUAUUGGACAAUGGACGCAAGCCUGAUCCAGCCAUGCCGCGUGAGUGAUGAAGGCCUUAGGGUUGUAAAGCUCUUUUGUCCGGGAAGAUAAUGACUGUACCGGAAGAAUAAGCCCCGGCUAACUUCGUGCCAGCAGCCGCGGUAAUACGAAGGGGGCUAGCGUUGCUCGGAAUCACUGGGCGUAAAGGGCGCGUAGGCGGACUCUUAAGUCGGGGGUGAAAGCCCAGGGCUCAACCCUGGAAUAGCCUUCGAUACUGAGAGUCUUGAGUUCGGAAGAGGUUGGUGGAAUUGCGAGUGUAGAGGUGAAAUUCGUAGAUAUUCGCAAGAACACCAGUGGCGAAGGCGGCCAACUGGUCCGAUACUGACGCUGAGGCGCGAAAGCGUGGGGAGCAAACAGGAUUAGAAACCCUAGUAGUCC